UGAUAAGAGCCACAUGCAUUCUAUGCACAAUGGGAAAAGCAGUUGAAUUGGGCAAAGCAAUCCCCACACUGUCCAAGAAAAGCAAUUUUGUUGGCUUGGGAAGCAUCAGGAAAGUGUGGGCAAUGCAGUAUUGAGCAGGAUGAAAUUAAGUCACAAAAGUCCCCGGUGUGAUCGAUCGAUGACGGGAAUGCGGGGCAUGGAACACUAGUUUUAAAAUGAUUGGCAUGAAGGGGCUAUAUCUCUUCAAAAAGUAUACUUUGAAGGACAGAAUAUGUUUGUUGGAUUUCUGGUAGUCCAUAACAAUAGUAGAUAUCGUCAAGAUAUGAUAUGCAAAAAAUAUAUGAUUAACAUUAUAUAUAUAUGCAAAAAAAUAUGCAAGGAAAUUAGAUCCUACUAUCAGGUGUAG
rnacentral:lncRNA from 1 species